rnacentral:tRNA from 1 species
GCCUGGGUGGCUCAGCGGUUGAGCGUCUGCCUUCGGCCCAGAGCUUGGUCCUGGGAUCUGGGAUCGAGUCCCAUGUCAGGCU